rnacentral:rRNA from 1 species
AUCGAACGCUGGCGGCAGGCCUAACACAUGCAAGUCGAGCGGAUGAGGGGAGCUUGCUCCUGGUUUCAGCGGCGGACGGGUGUGUAAUGCCUAGGAAUAUGCCUGGUAGUGGGGGAUAACGUCCGGAAACAGGUGCUACUACCGCCUGCGUCCUGCGGGAGCAAGUGGGGGAGCUUCGGACAUCUCGCUAUCAGGUGAGCCUAGGUCGGAGUAGCUAGUUGGUGGGGUAAAGGCCUACCUAGGCGACGAUCCGUAACUGGUCUGAGAGGAUGAUCAGUCACACUGGAAGUGAAACAGGGUCCAUGCUCCUACGGGAGGCAGCAGUGGGGAAUAUGGGACAGUGGGCGAGAGUCUGAUCCAGCCAGGCCGAGUGUGUGAAGAAGGUCUUCGGAUUGUAAAGCACGUCAAGGUGGUGGGAAGGGCAGUAAGUUAAUACCUAGCUGUUGUGACGUUACCAACAGAAUAAGCACCGGCUAACUUCGUG